CCUACGGGAGGCAGCAGUGAGGAAUUUUGCGCAAUGGGGGCAACCCUGAUCCAGCAAUGCCGCGUGUGUGAAGAAGGCCUUCGGGUUGUAAAGCACUUUCAGUAGGGAGAAAAGACUCACGGUUAAUACCCGUGAGAGUUGAUGUUACCUACAGAAGAAGCACCGGCUAACUCUGUGCCAGCAGCCGCGGUAAUACAGAGGGUGCAAGCGUUAAUCGGAAUUACUGGGCGUAAAGCGCGCGUAGGCGGGUAUUUAAGUCGAUUGUGAAAGCCCCGGGCUUAACCUGGGAACUGCAGUCGAUACUGGAUGCCUUGAGUAAUGGAGAGGGUGGCGGAAUUCCCGGUGUAGAGGUGAAAUUCGUAGAUAUCGGGAGGAACAUCAGUGGCGAAGGCGGCCACCUGGACAUUUACUGACGCUGAGACGCGAAAGCGUGGGGAGCAAACAGGAUUAGAUACCCUGGUAGUCCACGCCGUAAACGAUGAGCACUAGGUGCAGCGGAUAUUGACCUCUGCUGUGCCGUAGCUAACGCGCUAAGUGCUCCGCCUGGGGAGUACGGCCGCAAGGCUAAAACUCAAAUGAAUUGACGG
rnacentral:rRNA from 1 species